GUCAGAGUUUGAUCCUGGCUCAGAUUGAACGCUGGCGGAAUGCUUUACACAUGCAAGUCGAACGGUAGAGGGGGCAACCCCUUGAGAGUGGCGAACGGGUGAGUAAUAUAUCGGAACGUGCCCAGUCGUGGGGGAUAACGUAGUGAAAAUUACGCUAAUACCGCAUACGAUCUAAGGAUGAAAGCGGGGGAUCGCAAGACCUCGCGCGAUUGGAGCGGCCGAUAUCAGAUUAGGUAGUUGGUGGGGUAAAGGCUCACCAAGCCAACGAUCUGUAGCUGGUCUGAGAGGACGACCAGCCACACUGGAACUGAGACACGGUCCAGACUCCUACGGGAGCAGCAGUGGGGAAUUUUGGACAAUGGACGCAAGUCUGAUCCAGCCCAUUCCCGCGUGCAGGAUGAAGG
rnacentral:rRNA from 1 species